rnacentral:rRNA from 1 species
UCGGGAAUAUUGCGCAAUGGGCGAAAGCCUGACGCAGCCAUGCCGCGUGUGUGAAGAAGGCCCUAGGGUUGUAAAGCACUUUCAAUUGGGAGGAAAAGCUAAUGGUUAAUAACCAUUAGCCCUGACGUUACCUUUAGAAGAAGCACCGGCUAACUCCGUGCCAGCAGCCGCGGUAAUACGGAGGGUGCAAGCGUUAAUCGGAAUUACUGGGCGUAAAGCGCGCGUAGGCGGUUUUUUAAGUCGGAUGUGAAAGCCCCGGGCUCAACCUGGGAACUGCAUCCGAUACUGGAUGACUAGAAUGCGGGAGAGGGAGGUAGAAUUCCAUGUGUAGCAGUGAAAUGCGUAGAUAUAUGGAGGAAUACCAGUGGCGAAGGCGGCCUCCUGGCUCGACAUUGACGCUGAGGUGCGAAAGCGUGGGGAGCAAACGGG